rnacentral:rRNA from 1 species
GAUGAACGCUGGCGGCGUGCCUAAUACAUGCAAGUCGAGCGAACGGACGAGAAGCUUGCUUCUCUGAUGUUAGCGGCGGACGGGUGCGUAACACGUGGAUAACCUACCUAUAAGACUGGGAUAACUUCGGGAAACCGGAGCUAAUACCGGAUAAUUUUUUGAACCGCAUGGUUCAAAAGUGAAAGACGGUCUUGCUGUCACUUAUAGAUGGACCCGCGCUGCAUUCGCUAGUUGGUAAGGUAACGGCUUACCAAGGCAACGAUGCAUACCCGACCUGAGAGGGUGAUCGGCCACACUGGAACUGAGACACGGUCCAGACUCCUACGGGAGGCAGCAGUAGGGAAUCUUCCGCAAUGGGCGAAAGCCUGACGGAGCAACGCCGCGUGAGUGAUGAAGGUCUUCGGAUCGUAAAACUCUGUUAUUAGGGAAGAACAUAUGUGUAAGUAACUGUGCACAUCUUGACGGUACCUAAUCAGAAAGCCACGGCUAACUACGUG